GACGAACGCUGGCGGCGUGCCUAAUACAUGCAAGUAGAACGCUGAGGGAGGAGCUUGCUCUUCUGGAUGAGUUGCGAACGGGUGAGUAACGCGUAGGUAACCUGCCUGGUAGCGGGGGAUAACUAUUGGAAACGAUAGCUAAUACCGCAUAACAGUAGAUGUUGCAUGACAUUUGCUUAAAAGGUGCAAUUGCAUCACUACCAGAUGGACCUGCGUUGUAUUAGCUAGUUGGUGGGGUAACGGCUCACCAAGGCGACGAUACAUAGCCGACCUGAGAGGGUGAUCGGCCACACUGGGACUGAGACACGGCCCAGACUCCUACGGGAGGCAGCAGUAGGGAAUCUUCGGCAAUGGACGGAAGUCUGACCGAGUAACGCCGCGUGAGUGAAGAAGGUUUUCGGAUCGUAAAGCUCUGUUGUAAGAGAAGAACGAGUGUGAGAGUGGAAAGUUCACACUGUGACGGCAUCUUACCAGAAAGGGACGGCUAACUACGUGC
rnacentral:rRNA from 1 species